UCUGAGUAAAAGGCCGGAAGUGACAUCUGGGUAAGAGUGGGUGUUCUUGCAAUAACCAGGGCAGGGUGGCAGGAGUCAGGGGAAUGGACAUGGAGACUAGACACACUGGAGGUAAUGCUGGAAAGUAGGUUUGCCACCGGAAGCCGCUGGGAGGACUGGCUGGCUGAUGGUCGUGUAUUGAAAAUGCCAAACAGCUACAAAAGUAGAGACACUGUAAAAACUCUGGUCCUUCUAUCAGCCAACAGUGAUAACUGUCAACUCUGAUGACCUAAUGUCACCUAAACCCAAGUCUCCAGACUAACCUGGGGCUAUUUAAAAAAAAAAUACUAAUCAUUUUAUAUGAUCCAUCUUUUCACACACACAAUGGUGAGUCCGUCAUACUUGGUUAUAAAAAGAGAUAAGCUUGAAAACUGAAGGGAUAGGAGAGGGCAUGGGAAGGGAGGGGAGAGAUUAACAUAACACCUAAAUAAAGUCCGCAUUCUCUUAAGUCUUCUUUGAACCAUGGAGACUUCUUUGUGAUGUAAUAACAGUUCUGGGCUAACAUGGGCUGAGUGUAUCUUCAAGAUGCAAUGCUGGGCUGGAGAGAUGGCUCAGUGGUUAAGAGCACUGACUACUCUUCCAGAGGUCCUCAGUUCAAAUCCCAGCAACCACAUCGUGGCUCACAACCAUCUGUAAUGGGAUCUGAUGCCCUCUUCGUGUGUCUGAAGACAGCGUACUUAUAUAUAAUAAAUAAAUAAAUCUUUAAAAAAAAAAAAAGAUGCAAUGCUAACACCUGAAAGUUCUAGAAAUGUGGUAAGAAGCAGACUCUUCUGGCCUCCAGCCUCCUGCUGUUUAUUUGUUAAAGGGUUCUGACUAGAUGCUGUUACCACAGUUGGAUUUGGCGACAUGUUCUUCUGCCUGUGCUGUUUAUUGUGUGUCUCUGACACUCGUAUUUCUUUUUCUUCUUUACAAAUUGACAAUCAUGCCUAAAAUCUACAUCACAUCCAGGAUUUAUAUCUUGACAAAGGGGGGGAAAUCUCCCUUUGUAGACGGUAAUAUGUACAUCCAUAUAAUCACAUUGCUUUGCUGUGAGGAUGUGUUCCAGGGAGCCAUGGAGCCCUGCCUGCCCAUAUUUUCCACUAGGAUCCCUGCUGGCUAUGCGAGGCUGAAACCAUAGAAAAUGGAGGCACAGAUGACAAUGGACUAUUUUAUUGCAUUCUUCAAACAUAAGUACAAUGAAAAAUACAUGUAUUCAUCGUUCUUCUAUAGAGCGGAAAUAUCCUGUGUACAAAGAGAUGCCAUCGUGGGUCUUCUACAACGUGAAUAAUCUUAAUUUUAAAAUGUUUCAUUGAUUUGUACUUAUGUGUACGUGUGGGCAUAUCCGGGAGGUGUGCAGAGGCCUACGGAGGUCAAACGAGAGCUGGAGUUACAGGAGGGUGUGAGCUUUGGGUGCUAGCAUCCCAGCAUGGGCACUAAGAACUCCAAUAAUUGUUCCUGACCACUGA